AUAAGCAGAAACCAUGUGACUUAAGGAACCAAUCUCAGUAUACUAAACAGACCAAAUGAGCAGUUCAUGAACAACCCAUAAGCUGAAAUGUGUUCACAUAAACAACCUGGAGAAUGCUUCCAAAGAAUGAAUACACCCACAGAAGAUAGGAUCAGUUCAAAUCUUUUCUCCCCAUCUUGCCUGAGGGGGAAAUUGAAGGGCAGGUCUUCUACAUCCCAGUGAAUCUUUAACUUUUCUGAUGCCUGACCAGACCAAUUACCUCUGUUUAAUGUCUUAUCCUAAGGACAACAAAUGUGCACCUUCCUUUCCUACCCACUGAACUACCCUGGCACAGAAAAUUACAGCAUCUUUGGGUGCACUUCUAAUACCUUGAGGUCUUUUGAAAACAUAUGAGUCCUGGAACCUGCCUGAACCUAAGCGAAGCAUGAAAGAGCAACACAAUGAAGGACAAAGUUUUAAGGGGUUGAAGACUGGAUGGGGCUGGAAAAUGAAGAACUCUACACAAUUAAAAUAUAUCCUUGACUGAAGCUAGUGGCCCCUGGAAGUUUGCAGUGCCAGUUGGAUCCUGGGUGUCAAGGAAAAGGUCUCAUUUUCUUCUCCAGCAACUAAGGAAUUCCACAUUCCUGUAUUAGAUAUUGGGUGGCAAUUCUCUUGGAAAG